rnacentral:tRNA from 1 species
GCCUUCGUGGUGUAGUGGUCAGCACGCUCGGCGCGUAUUCUAGAGGUCCGUGGUUCGAGUCCCGGCGAAGGCA